UUCCAAAAUUAAUUUCUUCCACUCUUACCUUUCCUGAAACAAAAUGACGUAGCAUUGAGCACAAACGGUGAGCACGGAGUACACGGCGGUGAGCCAACUGUGAGCAUUGGCCGUGGGGUUUGAGGGGGUUUUGGGGUCUUUGGGGUCU
ensembl:ncRNA Y113G7A.18 ncRNA